rnacentral:rRNA from 1 species
AGAGUUUGAUCCUGGCUCAGGACGAACGCUGGCGGCGUGCCUAACACAUGCAAGUCGAACGGAGAAUUUCAAUAAGCUUGCUUAGAGAAAUUUUUAGUGGCGGACGGGUGAGUAACGCGUGGGUAACCUACCCAUAAAGCCGGGACAACCCUUGGAAACGAGGGCUAAUACCGGAUAAUCUUAAGGCUUGGCAUCAAGGUUUAAGGAAAGGUGGCCUCUGAAGAUGCUACCGAUUAUGGAUGGACCCGCGUCUGAUUAGCUAGUUGGUGGGGUAAAGGCCUACCAAGGCGACGAUCAGUAGCCGGCCUGAGAGGGUGAACGGCCACACUGGGACUGAGACACGGCCCAGACUCCUACGGGAGGCAGCAGUGGGGAAUCUUCCGCAAUGGACGAAA